rnacentral:rRNA from 1 species
UACGAAGGGGGCUAGCGUUGUUCGGAAUCACUGGGCGUAAAGCGCACGUAGGCGGCUUUUUAAGUCAGGGGUGAAAUCCCGAGGCUCAACCCCGGAAUUGCCUUUGAGACUGCAUCGCUAGAAUUGUGGAGAGGUAAGUGGAAUUCCGAGUGUAGAGGUGAAAUUCGUAGAUAUUCGGAAGAACACCAGUGGCGAAGGCGACUUACUGGACACAUAUUGACGCUGAGGUGCGAAAGCGUGGGGAGCAAACAGG